UUAUAACUCUUUUGCAGGGCAGGUUAGUCGGAAAAGAUAGAUUGACACGAUUUCAGCAAAAUGCUGAUUUGUACAGGGUAAGCCAGUCAUCUCUCUCUCUCUCUCUCUCACUCUGUGCACGCUCGCUUUGCGAUCCAUGUUCACAUAUUAAUUCUUCGUUGUGAAUGGUGCAGGUGUAUAGUUAUUCAAUCAGAUUCUUUGUGGGACAGUAUAGGAUGGCAACC
rnacentral:lncRNA from 1 species